GACGAACGCUGGCGGCGUGCUUAACACAUGCAAGUCGAACGGAAAGGCCCCUUUGGGGGUACUCGAGUGGCGAACGGGUGAGUAACACGUGAGUAACCUGCCCUUGACUUCGGGAUAACUUCAGGAAACUGGGGCUAAUACCGGAUAGGAAUCCUUGCUGCAUGGUGGGGGUUGGAAAGCUUCGGCGGUUUUGGAUGGACUCGCGGCUUAUCAGCUUGUUGGUGGGGUAGUGGCUUACCAAGGCUUUGACGGGUAGCCGGCCUGGGGGGGCGACCGGCCAUGGGGGGUCUGAAGGGCGGCCGAAGCUCCGAGGGGAGGAAACAGGGGGAAAUAUUGAAAAAGGGGCGGAGCCGGGAGGCAGAAGGCCCGCGGGGGGGAUGGCGGCUUUGGGGUGGAAAACCACUUGCAGGAGGGGAAAAGCUUGUGGUGACGGUACCUGAAGAAGAAGCACCGGCUAACUACGUG
rnacentral:rRNA from 1 species